GCGUGGCCUCAGCGCUGGCGGGGCAGGCUGUGGGGGGGUGCUUCCGGGCGAGCAGCCCCGCCCCCACGUGGGCCUCGGGAGACUGCUGCCGGAGGCUUCCGCCGCGGGAGCAGAAGCUCGGAGACCUUAGGGAAGCAGACUGAACACGCAGCAGUUGCCCCAGGAGCCGUCGACUCCAGCCAGUGACUGCCCUGCACCUUCUCUGGCCCACCAUGAAGCCCCAGUCUGUUCUGCACAGUGGCUACUUCCACCCUCUGCUCCGGACCUGGCAGACAGCCACCACCACCCUCAAAGCCUCCAACCUCAUCUACCCCAUCUUUGUCACGGAUGUUCCCGAUGAUGUCCAGCCUAUCGCCAGCCUCCCUGGAGUGGCCAGGUAUGGUGUGAACCGACUAGAAGAAAUGCUGAAGCCCCUGGUGGAAGAGGGCCUGCGCUGUGUCCUGAUCUUUGGCGUCCCCAGCAAAGUUCCCAAGGAUGAACGGGGCUCUGCAGCCGACUCCGAGGAUUCUCCGGCGAUUGAGGCCAUCCAUCUGUUGAGGAAGACCUUCCCCGACCUCCUGGUGGCCUGCGACGUCUGCCUGUGUCCCUACACCUCUCACGGUCACUGUGGGCUCCUGAGUGAAAACGGAGCAUUCCGGGCGGAGGAGAGCCGCCAGCGGUUGGCAGAGGUGGCAUUGUCCUAUGCCAAGGCAGGGUGUCAGAUCGUAGCACCAUCAGACAUGAUGGAUGGACGUGUGGAAGCCAUCAAGGAGGCCCUGAUGGCACAUGGACUCGGCAACAGGGUGUCAGUGAUGAGCUAUAGCGCCAAAUUUGCUUCCUGCUUCUACGGACCUUUCCGGGAUGCGGCUCAGUCAAGCCCAGCUUUUGGAGACCGCCGCUGCUACCAGCUGCCCCCUGGAGCACGAGGCCUGGCCCUCCGUGCAGUGGACCGGGAUGUACGGGAAGGUGCCGACAUGCUCAUGGUGAAGCCGGGAAUGCCCUACCUGGACAUCGUGCGGCAAGUGAAGGACAAGCAUCCUGAGCUCCCUCUUGCUGUGUACCACGUCUCUGGAGAGUUCGCCAUGCUGUGGCAUGGAGCCCAGGCCGGGGCCUUUGAUCUCAAGGCUGCAGUACUGGAGGCCAUGACCGCCUUCCGCAGAGCAGGUGCCGACAUCAUCAUCACCUACUACACACCUCAACUGUUGCAGUGGCUGAAGGAGGAGUGAGGGAGAGACUGUGAGACCCAAGACCUAGGACUUUAGAAAGUUCUGGGGCCUCGGAGAAGUGAAAGCCAAAGCCGGUGGUUGCCAGGCUGCCUGAGAUCUGUUCUACCCUGAGCCAUAAAACAGAAGAAUUACUCACUAAGGAGCAGAAACAUUGCCUGAGGAUCAGAAUCCCGAAACAGGGAGUUUCUGCUGGAGACGCUGCCACCACAAACGCGUGUUACUCAAGAGAAAUGUCUGGAAACCUCUGCUUUAUGCCCAGGCACGAGCUGGUUACUAGGAAAACAAUGACCAGACUUCAGCUGGCCUCUGGAAUUUAUACAAACAGAGUAGAGGAGACAGAGAAGAAGAAAACAGACAAAAUAAUUACCAAUUGUGAUAAGUGCUGUGCAGGAAACAAAGUGUCUGCAACAGAGAAUAACAGGAGAACCUCUCUUAAAAGGGUUGUUGAGAAACCCUUCUAAGGUUGAGACCCAUGAGGGACAGGGACAGAGCCAGACAAAGAGUGGAGGGAGGCAUACAAGAGGCUGCAGGAACCACACGUGGGCAAAGACCCUGUGGUAGAAGGAACUAGGAAGAGGAGGGAGCGUGACAGAGCUGGGGUUGGAAGGGAAAGCCAAGGCCAGACCCCACACCUUGUGGGGAGCACAGGGUUUUAUUUUGUAUCUGAUGGGAAGGAUUUUAACCAGGAGUUGUGUGUGGUCCAGUGUCCCGUAUUCUGCUGUUAGGGGAGAGAUGGAGCAGCAAGAGAGACGGGGUGUAACAGUGGAGGUAGGAAAAGGCGGAUGUGCAGGGGAGACGCUUUGGGGUUAGCAGAUUUCGCCAGUGCUCUAACUCCAGAGGCGAUGAAGGGUAAGGAAGGAGAGGAAAUGAGGACGCGUUUCCGACUCAGGCAACUGACUGGAUGGUUUCAAUUUCUUCUUCAGAGACUGACAUGGCAUAUCUUUUCCCCCUAGUAAAGUGAAGGCCCAGCUAAGAAGGGACCAGUUUGCAGGUGAUCUGCAGAGUAGCAGGGAACCACCACUCUAGGGCCAAAGCAAGUUUUUUGUUGUUUUCAUUGCCAAGGGCACAUCACUUACAGGGGUUGGGGGAGAGAAGAAAGCUGUGGAAGAAAGUACCUGUCGGUGAGUCAUGGUCACAUCAUAACCCUUUCUUCAUUUCUCCAUCCCGUCAGGAUUUGAGGUAUGUGCUCACAUGCACCUGGUGUGUUUUUCAAGUCAGCGGGGCCUAGGUUCAAAUCAUAGCCAUGAGGAUAUCCAGCUCAACUACUAGACUAUUGGCUAGUGCUCAAAGCAAGUUUAAUUUGAACCUUCAAGCAAAACAACCCACUUUAAAAUUUAGAAUUAUAAACUCAUAGGAGCUCUUGUAGUCAGAUCAGUCACUCUGGCUUCUCCUGGUAGACUUCCUUCCCCAGGAAAGUGGCUAACUCACUAAAAGACCUGAGCUCACCCUAUCAGCUUUCUGGAAGGCUGCCAGUCAAAAUCAGGACUUGAAGAGUCCUUCCAUGGAAGCUGAGCUGGAUCACCCACCUGGGCACUGGCCUAGCAGCUACUGCAGCUAUUUCAACCAUCUGAGCCUCCUGUCAUCUGCCCGGGAGCUCAUUUCUUGUUCAAACAAGAAGGUGCCUCAAGGCGAUCUCAGAUUCACCCUCUGUUCUGAGUGUGAGACACAUGCUGUUCUUUAGGUGCAUGCAGUCCAGAGGAACCAAACAUCCCUGUCCAGAGCCCUCGGGGAGCACGAGGGAAAACACAGUGGAAUGAGGAUUGUCUACCUGAGAACCGGGAGACACAAACAUGUCCCAGCAAUGUGGUGACAGGUACUGCGAGGGAGCUUACCAGGACCUGACCUGCUUGGAAGGAUCCACACACACUGGCCUGAGGGACUGACAUGUGAACCUAGACCUGAAGGCUGAGCAACCACGCUAAGCCACGGUGGGGGAAGCUCAUUCCAGGCUGAGGGAAUGGAAGUGCAAAGGCAGUCUGGGCAGGAGGCUGAGAGAGACUAGGAUCAAAUUCAGGGACACGAAGGCCACCUUGGCCUUUGUAGGCUUCAUUUAGUGAAGGAAGCCAUUGAGCAGGGAAAUGAAUGAAUCAACACUUUACAAAAGGAUGUGGCAAAGUGUAAAUGAGAUGUUAAUGACCUGGACUGCAGUGGUGACAGGAAGGAAAAACGGGGUGGGUUUAGGGUGUUAAGAGGGAGAGUAGAUGGGAGAAGUGAACUUGCCUUGACCUUGGGUGACUAAUGGGCUGUUUACUGAGGUAGGAAAGCAUGGAAGAGGAGCCAGAACAGGGUCAAGAUGGAGGCGAGAUACUAACUUUAGCUUGGGUUGUUUUGCAAUAAGGAAGAGAUACCCAGAGAACUUUGUGACUCACCUAAAGCCUGUCGUUUGUGGCAGAACUGGAUUAGAACUUCAGAUGCACAGAAAAUACCAGCUGGGAUGUGAACCCAGGUGGUCUAACUUCAAGGUCUCUGCCUUUAACCACUGUGCCAUACAACCUCCCAAUAAACAGCAAAAAUAUGCCUCUC